rnacentral:lncRNA from 1 species
AGGGUUAAAAGGGGGGGAAAGGGAUCCUAGGCUGAAAAAAGAAAAAAUGGGGAUUGUACCCACACUUAAGCACAACGACAGUCCCUUGUAUCUCCUUUGGUAAUGUAAAGGGAAUUAGGUGGGAAUGGGAUCCUAGGUUACAAAAAGAGGGGGACUAUGUGCAUUUAGCACAUUACCAUUCCCUUGAAACCUCUACGGUAAUGUAAUUCUUUAUGAGGGGAUAGAAUCCUAGACUAACGAAAGGGACAGCAGUGCAAUUAAGACCAUUAACAAGUCCCAUGCAGGCUCUGCAGCAAUGAAAAGGGAGAUAGGUGAGAAUGGGAUCCUAGGUUAUCAUAAGAGACUGUAGCUGUAUUUCAGCCCAUUAAGAGUCCCAAGUAUCCUUUGAAGCCAUGCAAAGGGCGUUAGUUGGGGCAUGAGAUUCUAGAUUAAUGUAAGAGAUUGUAGCUGCAUUUUAGCACAUUAACAGUCCAUUGUACCCCCCUUGGUAAUGCAAAUUGAGUAGGAGAGCUUGGGAAUCUAGACUAGUAGAAGGGACAGAGAAGAGCAAUGAAGCCCAUUAACAAGUCCCAUAUAGGCUCUGCAUCAAUGAGAAGAGUUAGGUGAGAAUGGGAUUCUAGCUUAACAUAAAGGACUGUAGCUGCAUUUAAGCACAUUGGUAGUCCAUUGUACAGUCUGUGGUUAUCAAAUCAUAUAAAAGAGGAUGGGAAUCUACACUAACAGAAGGUAACUGCAGUAAAGUUCACUAAUAGUCCCACAUAGGCUCUGCAGUUAUGAAAAGGGAGUUAGGUAGAAAUAGGAUGCUAGGUUAACACAAGAGCUGGAGCUCCACUUAAGCACAUAAAUAGUGCAUUACAGUCUCUUUAGUAAUGCAGAUAGAGUAGGAAGGCACGAGAAUCUAAACAAAUAAAAGGGACUAUAGCUCUAAUUAAGCCCA